rnacentral:rRNA from 1 species
CACUCCCGAUGCUUAUUUCUAGAGAUAGAAAGUUACUUCGGUACAUCGGUGACAGGUGGUGCAUGGUUGUCGUCAGCUCGUGUCGUGAGAUGUUGGGUUAAGUCCCGCAACGAGCGCAACCCCUAUUGUUAGUUGCCAUCAUUCAGUUGGGCACUCUAGCGAGACUGCCGGUAAUAACCGGAGGAAGGUGGGAUGACGUCAAAUCAUCAUGCCCCUUAUGACCUGGGCUACACACGUGCUACAAUGGUUGGUACAACGAGUUGCGAGUCGGUGACGGCGAGCUAAUCUCUUAAAGCCAAUCUCAGUUCGGAUUGUAGGCUGCAACUCGCCUACAUGAAGUCGGAAUCGCUAGUAAUCGCGGAUCAGCACGCCGCGGUGAAUACGUUCCCGGGCCUU